UACAAUAGAAACACUAACAAACCUAUUUACUGCUACUAAGCAAAUUUUUGUUGGUUUUAGCCUCUUUUGGGAGAAAAUGAUUAUAAGCGUUGUCUAAACACUCCUAAUCCAUCUCUAACUCUUAUUAUUAGUCAAAUGCAUUGGAUUGUGACACAUUUUGACCAUAAAAACAUUAAUAAAACUGUUUACUGCUUGUAAGCAAUUUUUUGUUGGUUUUAGCCUCUUCUGAGAGAAAAUGGGUAUAAGUAUUGUUUAAACACUCUUAAUCUAUCUCUAACUCUUAUAAUUAGUCAAAUGCAUUAGAUUGUGACAAAUUUUUACAAUAGAAACACUAACAACCCUAUUUACUGCUUCUAAGCAAAUUUUUGUUGGUUUUAGCCGCUUUUGGGAGAAAAUGGGUAUAAGUGUUGUCUAAACACUCCUAAUCCAUCUCUAACUCUUAUUAUUAUUAAAAUGCAUUGGAUUGUGACACAUUUUGACCAUAAAAACAAUAACAAAGCAAUUUACAGAUUCUAAGCAAUUUUUUGGUUGUUUUAGCCUCUUUUGAGAAAACCUUGAUAUAAGUGUUGUCUAAACACUCCUAAUCUCUCUUUAACUCUUAUAAUUAGUCAAAUGCAUUGGAUUGUGACACAUUUUGACCAUCAAAACACUCAUAGAACUGUUUACUACUUCUAAGCAAUGUUUUGGUUGUUUUAGCCUCUUUUGGGAGAAAAUGGGUAUAAGUGUUGUCUAAACAUUCCAAAUCCAUCUCUAACUCUAAUAAUUAGUCAAAGGUUUUGGAUUGUGACACAUUUUGACCAUAGAAACUCUAACAAAGCUAUUUACUGCCUCUAAGCAAUGUUUUGUUGGUUUUAACCGCUUCUGGGAGAAAAUGGGUAUAAGUGAUGUCUAAACACUCUUAAUCCAUCUUUAACUCUUACAAUUAGUCAAAUGCAUUGGACUGUGACACGUUUUGACCAUCAAAACACUAACAGAACUGUUUACUGCUUCUAAGCAAUUUUUUGUUUGU
rnacentral:sRNA from 1 species